CUUGUUUGUCAGGAGAAGAUCAAAUUUAGUUUAUAUGCAAACUUGGGCUGUCUAGACAUUCUAGAUCUUUUCAAUCCAACAUGAUUAACUGGAAUUAAUCAAAUAACAUAAUAGUGAUGGCAAAGUCUAUGAGUUCAUAUUUAAUUGAGGGCAGGACAGCAUCCAUCCAUGAUAAGCCUGUCGUGCACUGAAGCUUAUGAACACCUUAACCUCUGUCCUGCACGGAAGGAAAGUCUCUGAACACCUCAACUCAUGCCUCAUACCCUCAUCCAAUCACUGCUGUGAUCCCUUCCCAACACUGUAAGUAGCCCUCUCAUUCCCAUUCCCCAUAAUAUUGUACUAUGCAUUUUUUUGAAAGAUUCUUUGUUGUCUCCAUACCGUAGAUCUCCUAUCCUCCUAAAUGUUUCAAGUCACCAGCGUCCACUGAAGGAGAAUAAGUGGAGCUACAGAGGGCUUCACCACAACAGGCUGUACAAUAUCGUUCCCACACGUCACCUAAAACAUUAACGGUUGGGUUUUGGCCAAGGUUUGAAGAAUGAAGGUCGUCAGAAGAAUUCAAUCAAUGCAGAUGGGCUUCUUUCAGCAAAGAUUGGCCAUAUUUCGGCAACCUGUGCAUAGAAGAGCCAGGAAAAAGACAGUGUCUCACUCAGAUUGGCUCAUAGUGAGAUUGCUUGAAAAGAGAUGGAACUGAUUGUCAAUGGAACGCAUUGACUAUGCUGAAUAAAUUGUAUUCAAUCAAUCGGGUUCUGCAAUGCAAUACAAUGGGUAUUGAUGCGUCUUUGAAUUACGGUAUUGAAUCAAAAUGAAUAUUGAGUGCAUGGCAAAAUGAAAUCAAUCAUCAUGUCAUAAUAACUCUUUUGAUUUAAUCAAAUCAUUAGUGACAAAAUAAAUUAGGAGUAGUCCGAUAAGUGUGAUGUUGUUGGUUGUUACUUUCAUACUGAAUCGCACAACAUGCUAUCCAGGACCUCUACAGUGUAUCAGGCGGUGUCAGAGGAAGGUCAUCGGCUCUCGGACCGACUCCGAGACAGCUUCU
rnacentral:lncRNA from 1 species